rnacentral:misc_RNA from 1 species
UGUCCCGGUCGGUUGGAUCCCUGUCUCGGCAGCGACAACUGUUUGGUCUUACAUGUUCAUUCUGUCGGAGAGCUGUAAAUUACGCCCUCGGAUGAGAUUGGUGCCCUGCGCAGUAUACCUAUUAUGAUGGAAUUUCGAUGUCCCAUAGUCCCUAAUUUGUCUCGUGCACUUUAUUUUGUGCGAGACUGCCAAUGAAUCUAACAUGGUCUUUCGUCCUUUCAUUUACUUUUGGUCUUGUAAGUGUCGGAAGUCCAUGUGUAGAGAGAAAUCUUGAAUGCGGAACCAGUAAUCGAUUAUGGUCUUGGCCCAUACUUUUCCGAGAUAGUUGUCCCUUACGGAAGUCCGUUGUGCCUUGUGUUGAUUAAAGGAUGCUAAUGUAUCUUUUGCUCAUGCUUGGCCGUCGGCAAGAAGGAAUGC